CGAGCGAAUGGAUUAAGAGCUUGCUCUUAUGAAGUUAGCGGCGGACGGGUGAGUAACACGUGGGUAACCUGCCCAUAAGACUGGGAUAACUCCGGGAAACCGGGGCUAAUACCGGAUAACAUUUUGAACYGCAUGGUUCGAAAUUGAAAGGCGGCUUCGGCUGUCACUUAUGGAUGGACCCGCGUCGCAUUAGCUAGUUGGUGAGGUAACGGCUCACCAAGGCAACGAUGCGUAGCCGACCUGAGAGGGUGAUCGGCCACACUGGGACUGAGACACGGCCCAGACUCCUACGGGAGGCRGCAGUAGGGAAUCUUCCGCAAUGGACGAAAGUCUGACGGAGCAACGCCGCGUGAGUGAUGAAGGCUUUCGGGUCGUAAAACUCUGUUGUUAGGGAAGAACAAGUGCUAGUUGAAUAAGCUGGCACCUUGACGGUACCUAACCAGAAAGCCACGGCUAACUACGUGCCAGCAGCCGCGGUAAUACGUAGGUGGCAAGCGUUAUCCGGAAUUAUUGGGCGUAAAGCGCGCGCAGGUGGUUUCUUAAGUCUGAUGUGAAAGCCCACGGCUCAACCGUGGAGGGUCAUUGGAAACUGGGAGACUUGAGUGCAGAAGAGGAAAGUGGAAUUCCAUGUGUAG
rnacentral:rRNA from 1 species